rnacentral:rRNA from 1 species
ACGAACGCUGGCGGCGUGCUUAACACAUGCAAGUCGAACGGUGAAGGGGUCUGCUUUUGUGGGCCCUGGAUGAGUGGCGAACGGGUGAGUAACACGUGAGUAACCUGCCCCCUUCUUCUGGAUAACCGCAUGAAAGUGUGGCUAAUACGGGAUAUUCUGGGUCUGUCGCAUGAUGGGUCUGGGAAAGAUUGCGCCUUUGGGUGUUUUUGGUGGGGGAUGGGCUCGCGACCUAUCAGCUUGUUGGUGGGGUGAUGGCCUACCAAGGCGGUGACGGGUAGCCGGCCUGAGAGGGUGGACGGUCACACUGGGACUGAGACACGGCCCAGACUCCUACGGGAGGCAGCAGUGGGGAAUAUUGCACAAUGGGCGCAAGCCUGAUGCAGCGACGCCGCGUGAGGGAUGGAGGCCUUCGGGUUGUAAACCUCUUUCGCCAGUGAAGCAGGCCUGCUCCUUGUGGGUGGGUUGACGGUAGCUGGAUAAGAAGCGCCGGCUAACUACGUG